AUCGUUCAUCUUUUGCACUAACUUAAUGCAAAAGACGGAAGUAGGAAGAUAGGAAAACCUCUUUCUUCCCAAGGGAGGAAAG
rnacentral:ncRNA from 10 species